rnacentral:lncRNA from 1 species
CCCUACGACCAAAGCUUAAAUGGGAAGGUAUCAUCCUGUAUUGCAGAAGCAAGCGUAGCGCAUGGUUGAAGAGCAAGCACAAAACUUACCACCAUCCCUUCUCUGGGAUGACCAUUUUGAAGGAAGCCCCACACAUUUAUCCAAAGUCUGGCUCCAUUUCAAGUCCAAGUGGACUCAAAGUCUCUUUCAUUCCCCUUUACGUAGGUGUAACCAGUAGACCACCCCUCAGCUCCCUCCCUUGUAGGAGCUGUAUCAGAGAACGAUUUUUCACCAUGGCAGAAGUAAUAGAUACAGCACUGGGGCCUGAAAAGGCCCUUCACGGCCUUUGCUUCUCGCUUUAUUUCUGUGUGUUGCUGGAAACAAACACUGGGAAGGGGCAUCUACAGGGUUUGGUUCUCUGAUGGGCGGCUGCCCUGGGCACUGCUCUAUUACAAUACUACUGCCUAUUAGGUGAACAUAGAGACACAGCAGUGACAUGGCAGAUGCUCAAGCAACACUUGCUAUUUGUGACAGGGCUGCUGCCUGCCGCCUGGCUCUUCUGGAAGUCUACCAAGACACCUACCGCUUCUUGGAAGCUGCUAUGCUGCCUUCCUCUUCUUCUCAUCUACUACUCUGCCUGCUUCUUCCUGGAAACUACUACUCUGCCUGUCUCUUCCUGGAAACUCCUACACUGUCUGGCUCUUGCGAUCUACUACUCUCUCUGCCUCCUUUUCGGAAUCCACUGCGCUGCCUGCCUCCUUUUCGCACUAUACUGUGCUGUCUGCCUCUUUCUUGGACUCUUCUAUGCUGCCUGCCUCUCUUUCUGCAUCUACUACUCCACCUGCCUCUUCCUGCAAUCCACUACGCCGCCUGCCUCCUUUUGGAAACUCCUCCUCAGCUUGCUGCUUCUUUGGAAUACGCUGCGCCACCUGCGUCUGCUCUGCAAUAUCCUACGCCGCCUGCGUCUGCUUUUCGAUACGCUAUACCGUCUGCGGUUGCUGUUCAAUAUUCUACGCCACCUCUCUCUUCUUUGGAAUAUUGUACAUCACCUACCUCUGCUCUGGAAGAUACUACACCACCUCUCCCUUAUAUGGAAUAUGCUAUGCCACCUGCCAUUGGUAUGGAAAAUAUUAUGCUGCCUGACACUUCUGUGGUACAUCCUAUGCUGCCUGCGCCUGCUUCGGAGCAUCCUGCGUCACCUGCCACUGCUACGCA